AAUGAACGCUGGCGGCGUGCUUAACACAUGCAAGUCGAGCGAGAAAGUUGACUUCGGUUGACGAGUAAAGCGGCGAACGGGUGAGUAACACGUGGGUAACCUGCCUCAGAGCGGGGGAUAACUUGGGGAAACCCGAGCUAAUACCGCAUACGUUCCACAGGUCGCGAUCUGUGGAAGAAAGCCGGCCAAUCCUUGGAAGCUGGCACUUUGAGAGGGACCCGCGCCCGAUUAGCUUGUUGGUGGGGUAAUGGCCUACCAAGGCGACGAUCGGUAGCCGGCCUGAGAGGGUGAACGGCCACACUGGGACUGAGACACGGCCCAG
rnacentral:rRNA from 1 species